rnacentral:tRNA from 1 species
UCCCCUGUAGCUCAGUUGGUAGAGCAUGGCGCUUGCAACGCCAGGUUUGUGGGUUCGAUUCACAUGGGGGGGC